UCAAGGCUGUCUGGUAGGUUCUAGG
rnacentral:piRNA from 1 species